ensembl:lncRNA
AGCCAAUCAGAAUCCACCUGACCAGCUUGAGCAUUUAAAGAGGCAGACGACAAAACCUCAGCGCAUGCAGAAGGUUAUCAUAUGUUGGUGUAGAUGCUAAUAUUGUUAUAGUUAUCUUUUUCAUUAUCGUUCUUGGUGUGAAUGGGCCUUUAGAUAGGGAGAAAAGGAAUAAUCUGUCUGUGUGUGUAUGCAGGAGUAUCUCAGUGUGACCCUAGAAUCCGUCCUGGCCAAGAAAAUCACAGAAGCGUCACUGAUGAGUAGUGAUUUAAUUACAGUAGUGCAAGGUGUCCUUCUUUCUACCUGCCUUCCGGGUGAUCUCUCCCUCUCUCUAUCGUUCCUUCUUACUGGGACAAUAGGGGACUGGAGGUGGAGGCCAGGAACUCUAAAACUACUUCUGGUACCUCAGGGCUCAAUGUUUAGGGUGGCUUUGUCUUCCAAAAGUAGGGAAUGUUCUUUCCCUCUGACCACAAUAUGGACGUGAACUCCGGAAAAGACACUGUCACUGCCAUGGAGACAUUCUGGAACUGUUGCCUUGGAAACAGUAAUCAUGGUUUGAGCGAGGGGUGAAAUGGAAGAGUUUUUUGAGGGUGGAAGAGUGUGAUCCUCUCCACCUUGUUUUUAGAGCUGCAACUGAGUCAAAGAUUAGGCAGAGAUGGAGACCCAAUCUCGCAUCCGCCUCAGCUGUUUCCGAAGGAAGACAAACACGCCCCACGCCAAUAAAACCGCAGCGCGAUGCUCCCCCAAUGUCACCGAACGGAUGAACUUUGCGGGGAGCCGCAGAACCCUCACCAGCUCCCCACAGUUCCGGCUGUGGAUCCAGCAUGUAAUAGAAGAUGGUGAGAAUUCAAUAAUCAUCAGAGUCCUCAUCUCCACAUGCUCUACUGAACAGGAAAAUAAUUACAUUUCUUUCACUUUUUUUGUCUCAGAUAAAUUAUGGAUCCCUUAUCUGGCUCCAAGGAUAAACGAAUCUGAUUCACGGGCCAAUUAACUAGCAUUCUUGCACCUCGAUGGAGCGUGCUCAGUGUCUCAUGAAUGAGUGGCAUGCGCCGAGAACAGCACGAGAAGAAGCAUGUGGCUUUUAUGCGAUUCUCAUAACACAUUCUCUAUCAAACACAACAGGUUUCCUUGCACAUAUUUCUAGUUUAUGAUUCUACGAUGUAUAAUAUAUCGCCCAAUCGAUGUUCAACACCAUCUGUAUUCUGGUUCUAAAAAAAUGGUUUCUUUCUUAGCUUCUUACAAUCGAGGAUACUCUGAACCCCAUCCCCCCCCACCACUCUUACUCAUCGUACACCUGAC